rnacentral:rRNA from 1 species
CCGGAUAAUUGGGAGAAAUCCCUUGUAAUACGGGCGAGGAUCAUUGUGAGGCAUCUCACGAUGCGGGAAGGUGCAACGCAAGUUGUGCCGUGCAGGGAGGUGUUCGCGGCCUAUCAGUUAGUUGGUGGGGUAACGGCCUACCAAGACGACGACGGGUAGCUGGUCUGAGAGGAUGGUCAGCCACAUUGGAACUGAGAUACUGUCCAG